AUAGCACAAGACUCAAAGGUCAACAUAAUAGCAUGAAUUAAACUUGAAUUUAGUAAGAGGGGGACACCAACAAGAGGACCACGCUUUUUCUGGGGCAAAUUCAAGGCGGCAACGACUAGGGAGCCUUCUUCAAAGUAAUCGGCUGCAAUGUUGCAAAGCUGCAGGUCCUAGCAACACUGGCACGCACUUGAGGGUCACAUACUUAUGUGCAAAAGGCACAACUUUUGGAGCGUUUACACCCAUUUCUAGUUCAAUCGAGUGGACGGCACAUCAUGGAUCGUAAUCCAUUAGAAUGUUGCUCAACAUAUGUG